rnacentral:rRNA from 1 species
GACGAACGCUGGCGGCGUGCCUAAUACAUGCAAGUUGAGCGCUGAAGGUUGGUAUUUGUAUCAACUGGAUGAGCAGAGAACGGGUGAGUACUGCGUGGGGAAUUUGCAUUUGAGCGGGGGACCACUUUUGGAAACGAAUGCUAAUACCGCAUAAAAACUUUAAAAAUAAGUUUUAAGUUUGAAAGUUGCAAUUGCAUCACUCAAAGAUGAUCCCGCGUUGUAUUAGCUAGUUGGUGAGUUCAAGGCUCACCUAGGCGGUGAUACAUAGACGACCUGAGAGGGUGAUCGGUCACAUGGGGACUGAGACUCGGCCCAAACUCCUAGAGGAGGAAGCAGUAGAGAAUCUUCGGCGAUGGAGGAAAGACUAACCGAGCAACACGGCGUGAAUGAAGAAGGUUUUCGGAUCGUAGAGCUCUGUUGGUAGAGAAGAUCGUUAGGGAGAGUUGAGAGCUCAUAAAGUGACGUUAACUACCCAGAAAGGGACGGCUAACUACGUG